CACCACAGUCGUUAACUCAAAAGUUCCCCGAUCUACCUUAAAACAAGUUAAAUUCUCUAUAUUUCAAACUCCACUUCAUUGCUUUUAAAGGCAGGUACUUGCAAAAAGUAUAUUACAACAGAAAAUAGAAAAAAAUAUACAAUACUGUGGAUUCAGGAAUAUUUGUACACAUUCAAUUCAUCAGAAGAAGUUACUAGAAAUAGAAAAAAACAAGUUGGCAAUGCAGAAGGAAAACCUAGUUACAGCAAAAAAAGAAAUUGGUCUUUUUGAGGAGUUUAUGUAUUUUAUAAAGACAUCGUACGAAGAAAGUAAACAAAGAGAUACAAGAGGAUUUUUUGGUUAACGACAUUUCUCUUUCAUAGGCGACCGACAGUAUGUACACAUCAACAUGUUAUAAUUUAUUACAUUAAUUGAAAAUAUGUUUUAUCAAUGUUUAAAAUAGCACCAAAAACAUAUUAAGUAACACAAAAAUAUAUUAACACAAAAGCCAAUGUUACAAGAUACACGUACUGUGUUUAUUAAUUGAACAUGUUACUUUUUCAGCUAUGCUCUAUAUAAUAUCUAUAACGUAUAAUUGCACAAAUAACAGGGUACUUGUUCUGUAGAUUAAAGGGGCAAAAAAUAGCUUUUUUUAUAAUCACUUGCUUAGUUUUACACUAUUAAGCAUUUACUUAUGUCGUAUGUAUUCUAUUUUGUAAGACAAAAUAAUGAUAAGUAUGUUAAAUGUAUAUGUUGAUGUAAAAUAUUGACAAAGGAAAAAGAAAAUAUUUAGAGUUGUCAUACAUUACACGUUCCUGAAUAAAGAUAGUGAGAUAA